rnacentral:lncRNA from 1 species
GGCAUACAUGGAGUGGCAAGGCGAUCCAAGUGGGCCAUGAUCACAACAGCUGUUUGUCUCAGAUCAAUUGCUAGUUCAUUGUCCUGGGGUAAAGUCAGAUACCUAAGAAAACUUUCAUUUGGACUCAGAGGAUAGGUCAGCAGCUGAAUCUCUUCCUCAGAAUUGGGCAUGUCUUUAUUACACACUAUACUCUGAAAUCUUUGUAACAAAGGUAGAAGGGGUGCACUUGUUCCCUGUGCAGAUCGCUCAUUAUCAGUUUCCCUUGUUCCAUUAUCCCAAAGCUGAAGCAACAACAUAACUGCAGACAACAUUUGGCUUAGCGUACCCCUCUGCACUGCCAGUUCUAGCAAUAUAGCAAGCGCCAAGUGCUGGUCUUGCAAUGGAAUGUUCCCUGGUCCUUUGGUACUGGGAGCUCCAUGCACAUCUCCAGUCACAACAGACCUUAGGAAUUUAGUAGCUCUUUCC